rnacentral:rRNA from 1 species
UACGUAGGGUGCGAGCGUUAAUCGGAAUUACUGGGCGUAAAGGGUGCGCAGGUGGUUGUGUAAGUCUGAUGUGAAAGCCCCGGGCUUAACCUGGGAACUGCAUUGGAGACUGCACGGCUAGAGUGCGUCAGAGGGGGUGGAAUUCCGCGUGUAGCAGUGAAAUGCGUAGAGAUGCGGAGGAACACCGAUGGCGAAGGCAGCCCCUGGGAUGACACUGACACUCAUGCACGAAAGCGU